rnacentral:rRNA from 1 species
CAGUCGCCGCGGGAAUACGUAGGUGGCAAGCGUUGUCCGGAUUUAUUGGGCGUAAAGCGAGCGCAGGCGGUUCCUUAAGUCUGAUGUGAAAGCCCACGGCUCAACCGUGGAAGGUCAUUGGAAACUGGGGAACUUGAGUGCAGAAGAGGAGAGUGGAAUUCCAUGUGUAGCGGUGAAAUGCGUAGAUAUAUGGAGGAACACCAGUGGCGAAGGCGACUCUCUGGUCUGUAACUGACGCUGAGGUUCGAAAGCGUGGGGAGCAAACAGGAUUAGAGACCCCUGUAGUCCCUGUCUCUUAUAC